rnacentral:rRNA from 1 species
UGUACAACUUUUAUCGAUAAGCCAUUGGAGGGCAAGUCUGGUGCCAGCAGCCGCGGUAAUUCCAGCUCCAAUAGCGUAUAUUAACGUUGUUGCAGUUAAAAAGCUCGUAGUUGAAGUGUGGGUGGUGCUGUCUGAAUGACUUCGGUUAGUCAGAUGAUCACUACCCCCUUCCAGUAUCCAGUAGUGGGUAUUCAGUUACUUACUAUUGUGUGUUGGUCGUUUACUGUGAGAAAAUUAGAGUGUUCAAAGCAGGCGUUUGCUUGAAUAGAUUAGCAUGGAAUAAUAAUUGAAGGCUUUCGUGUUCGAUUUGAUUGGUUUGUUCAUGGA